rnacentral:rRNA from 1 species
GACGAACGCUGGCGGCGUGCCUAAUACAUGCAAGUAGAACGCAGUUGCGAACGGGUGAGUAAAGCGUCGGUAACUGCCCCAAAGCGGGGGAAAAAUAUUGGAAACGGUAGCUAAAUCCGCAUACUGGGAGAUGGACCUGCGUUGUAUUUGCUAGUUGGUGAGGUUAAGGCUCACCAAGGCGACGAUACAUAGCCUACCUGAGAGGGUGAACGGCCACCCUGGGACUGAGACACGGCCCAGACUCCUUAGGGGAGGAGGAGUAGGGAAUCUUCGGCAAUGGACGGAAGUCUUACCGCGCAACGCCGCGUGAGUGAAGAAGGUUUUCGGAUCUUAAAGCUCUGUUGUGAGAGGAGCGGUAACUAACCAGAAAGGGACGGCUAACUACGUGCCAGCAGCCGCGGUAAUUC